rnacentral:piRNA from 1 species
UAAAAAACAUCAAAGGACUUCUUAGGUUUC